UUGGACAGCUUUCCAUGACCUCUUGUGAGAUCUCGGCAAAAAGUCUGACGAUUUAUUCCAAAACAUGAUGCAUGAUGGGAUACACUAAGCUUUGUAUAGCGCUCCAGAGCAGUAUUGGAGAGGUUUAGUGUGUGUUAAGGACGCUGUGCUUUGGCAUUAUUAAGACCGGGGACAGUCUUGUGCACACACUGUCACGUACACACACUCUCAAGUGGCCAAGACUGCAAGUGUGGGUAUCUGGACAGGGUCAAAGUCUUAAAAAUGAUCCCUAAACACAUCACAGUCUUAAUAAUCCAGUUUAACACUUGUAUGAUAUUGUACAAGCCCCAGGACUGUCUCAUCUGACACUAUCAAAGAAUUCAUAUGACUAUAGCUUGUUAUUAAUUACUUGCUUUCAAUAAUGGAUUCAUUUAACAUUUAAUUAUACAGCAUCUUUACAGAGGUGUAAUGUACAAGCUGCACGUAAUUAAUAAUAUGUCCUUCCUUCUGUCUUACAGGAUUUUUUCCAGAUAAUGCUGUUCUUCUUUUUCAGGUCUAAAAUAUCGAGCUCAACAGCUAUUUUAAGAGCCAACCCUCACAAACCUUCCUAAAACCUAAAAGAGCUAUUACUGAGUCUCAGCGAAUCUUGCCAUGAUCAGCUCUUCCCAGAAGAGAAGGAAGACCAAGGAUAUGAUUUGCUCAGGAUGAGGAAUGAAGAUGGCCAUCUUGAGCUCAAACAAACAGAAGUCCUCUGAUGAUCUCAUCAGCCAAAUGAGGGGUUUUGACCAAGUGAUGCUCUUGAAAGGAGUGAAAGAAGAGGAUGUGGUAAAUUGUCUUCAGAGAAAAGCUUCUCAAAAGAUCUUAAAACAGCUUGAAGAAUGGUCUGGGAUCUUAGGACUGAGAGAUCAUCUGGCUGAGAACAAGCUACACCUCAUCAGUGCUGGACAUCAACCACAAACUGUUUCCAGACACGAGAGAAGAAGAUCACGAUGGGGAGAUGAAACCAGUUUAGAUGUGAUGAUGGGAAUCAUUAUUUUCUGAAACAGUAUCACAUGUCUUAUAUGUAUCACAUGAUCUGUAUCACAGUUGACUGGAUUGGACUGUGUGACUUUUAAGGACAUUUCAUCACUCAU